rnacentral:tRNA from 1 species
AAGAGAUUAGUUAAAAAAUAACAUUAAUUUGUCAAAUUAAAAUUAUAAACUUAUUAUUAUAUCACUUA